rnacentral:tRNA from 1 species
AUUUAAAUAGUUUAAUAAAAAUGUUGGUUUGUGGUGCCAAGGAUGUAUGUAUUUACUUUAAAUC